AUCAUGGCUCUCUGUUAGCGUGGAUCUGGCGCAGCCCUCGCUUUGCAGAUGGGACACUGAGGGCUCCAGAGAGAAGGGACUGGACCAGGGUUAGAACCCAGAGCUGUCUCCCAGUCACUGGCCGCCUUAAACCAAGGAAGUGUGGUGCGGCCUUGAAGGGCUGCACGUAAGGCUCUGGCCCUGCAGGCGCUCGUUUCUUAGGUGAGUGAAGGUUGUUCCCCGCCGCCGAUGCGUGUGGCAGAUCACCCCUUCCCAAGCUUUAUAAGGAAACUCCCCCAACUUGCCCUGAGGGGUAGAGACCCCACGAGCCCCAGAGCUCUGAGGCCAAGGGAACAGCCACUUCCCCCUUAUCAUGCUUCAAACCUUCCAAACUCCUCCUUGUGGCUACGAGCAGCCCCUAACAGCCUCUCCUACCGUGUCCUGCUCCAAGGCUGCCAGGGCUUUUCCCGGUGCCCUAGGAUUCCCACCCACUGGGUCCCAGCUCAGGGCCUUUGCAUGUGCUGCCCUCUGCCCAGGUCUCCGUAUGACUGGCUUCCAACCACUGUCUCCUCUCAGAGGCCUUUUCUGACCAUGCCACCUGGAGAGCCACCCCGAGCUGCCCGUCGUAUUUAAUCCGUUAUAGCCCUUCUCAUUACCUAGAUUCUCGUGUGUCCUUAGCAGUUUAGGGGAUUGCCAGAAGCAUGUCAGCCCCUGUCCAUCUCUCUCACGGUUGGUCCCCGGCAUCUUGCACAGUGCCUGACAUGUAGUAGACGCUCAGUAAAUAUUUGUGGAAUGAAUGAAUCAUCAAUGGGACCUCAGCCCUCCUGAGCGCUGCUCCUUCCUCUUGGCAGGAAGCCCAGCUUUUGGCUUGGGUACAACCCCGCAGGCUCCUCGGGGCCCACCUGUGCGGGCUGCUGGGCCUGCAGCUCUUCCUGUCCUGGAGACACCACCGUCUCCCCAGGAGCUGGCUCCAGGGCUGAGUGCCUGGUGGCCCCCUCAUCAUUUCCAGGGUGUAGUAGCCCGAGAGCCAGGAUUCCAGCCCAGGCUUCGCUCAAGGACACGCUUGGGGUUCCCGUCGUGGCGCAGUGGUUAACGAAUCCAACUAGGAACCAUGAGGUUGUGGGUUCGAUCCCUGGCCUUGCUCAAUGGGUUAAGGAUCCGGCGUUGCCAUGAGCUAUGGUGUAGGUUGCAGACGCGGCUCGGAUCUGGCGUUGCUGCGGCUCUGGCGUAGGCCGGUGGCUACAGCUCCAAUUCGACCCCUAGCCUGGGAACCUCCAAAUGCUGCGGGAGCGGCC
rnacentral:lncRNA from 1 species